rnacentral:rRNA from 1 species
UACGGGGGGAGCAAGCGUUGUUCGGAUUUACUGGGCGUAAAGGGCGCGUAGGCGGCCACCGCAAGUCGACUGUGAAAUCUCCGGGCUUAACCCGGAAAGGUCAGCCGAUACUGCGGGGCUAGAGUGCAGAAGGGGCAACUGGGAAUUCUCGGUGUAGCGGUGAAAUGCGUAGAUAUCGAGAGGAACACCUGCGGCGAAGGCGG